GUGUGCGUUCAUACCAACACUAAUGCAUCGGAUCCCAUUGGAACUCCGAAGUUAAGCGUGCUUGGGAGAGAAUUGUACGAAGAUGGGCCUAUCACAUGACUUUCACAGACACAGGCU
rfam:Cephalotus follicularis DNA, scaffold: scaffold3880, isolate: St1.